AGGAUCCAUCAUGAUUUUAGCCAAUGUUUCAUUUAUCUAUUGGAUGGGUGUAUGCACCCACGUGUGGGCAAGAACAACUCCAAAUAGAAAAUGUUACACAUGCAAUGGUGCAAUCACAAGAUCGCUGUGCCAUAAAAAAGCAUCAUAUUACCAGUAACAUUCACCCUCUCCCCAACACAAAACAAAAUAAUUUCAAUAUAAAGAUAAAAAUUUUAAAGAAGAAAAUAGUAUAAUAUCUAAUAUUUUAUCAUGCAACAAAAAAAUAUCCAAAAGCUUUCGUCAAUAGAAACCAAAAUCUGCA
rnacentral:misc_RNA from 1 species